UACGUAGGUGGCAAGCGUUGUCCGGAUUUAUUGGGUCGUAAAGCGCGCGCAGGCGGUCCUUUAAGUCUGAUGUGAAAUCUUGCGGCUCAACCGCAAGCGGUCAUUGGAAACUGGGGGACUUGAGUACAGAAGAGGAAAGCGGAAUUCCACGUGUAGCGGUGAAAUGCGUAGAGAUGUGGAGGAACACCAGUGGCGAAGGCGGCUUUCUGGUCUGUAACUGACGCUGAGGCGCGAAAGCGUGGGGAGCAAACAGG
rnacentral:rRNA from 1 species